GGGCUCGUAGCUCAGUUGGAAGAGCGCCUCAAUGGCAUUGAGGAGGUCGUCAGUUCGAACCUGAUCGGGUCCACCA
rnacentral:tRNA from 5 species